rnacentral:rRNA from 1 species
UACGUAGGGGGCAAGCGUUGUCCGGAUUUAUUGGGCGUAAAGAGCGUGUAGGCGGCUUGGUAGGUCCGCUGUGAAAACUCGAGGCUCAACCUCGAGAUGUCGGCGGAAACCACUUGGCUAGAGUCCGGAAGAGGAGAGUGGAAUUCCCGGUGUAGCGGUGAAAUGCGCAGAUAUCGGGAAGAACACCCGUGGCGAAGGCGGUUCUCUGGGACGGUACUGACGCUGAGACGCGAAAGCGUGGGGAGCGAACAGG